UCCUCAGAUGAUCACACCCACUUUGCUUCACUUUCAUGUCCAGAGCUGCUUAGACUGAUUUCUGCAAAGUGCACAGGCAUUUUCAUGCUGAGGAUAAAGGACCAUGAUCGCUUGUCUGGACCCAGAAAAUAUUUCCCAUUUGCUACACAGAUGCCGUCUCAUCCUUCCAGAGUUCAAGACUUCAGCAGAAAAAAAAAUCACCUCAUUAAAGGAAAAUUGUGCCUUAUCCCCACUACUCGAAGAUGCAACCAUCUGCCUGGUCACAGCCACUUUUUUCCUUUUUUUCUCACUCCAUCGUAUGUGUGUGUGGUGGGGCAGGGGAUAAGGGGAAUAAUCUCUCUCCAGUAUAAGAAGGGAUCAAGAAGCAACAGGACUGCGGGAUGGGAUAGAAAAUAAUUUUCAUCUUAGCAAUAUUGAGUAUUCCAGUACAUGAGUAUUGUAUGUUUCUCAAUUCACUUAGAUCCUUAAUUUCCCUUAGUCAUGUUUUGUGAUUUUCAGUAUACAAAUCUUGUACUCUGUAUUAAACCAUUCUUGCAUUGCUGUAAAGAAA
rnacentral:lncRNA from 1 species